UGGGGAAUUUUGGACAAUGGGCGAAAGCCUGAUCCAGCAAUGCCGCGUGUGUGAAGAAGGCCUUCGGGUUGUAAAGCACUUUUGUCCGGAAAGAAAUCCUUGGCUCUAAUACAGUCGGGGGAUGACGGUACCGGAAGAAUAAGCACCGGCUAACUACGUGCCAGCAGCCGCGGUAAUACGUAGGGUGCAAGCGUUAAUCGGAAUUACUGGGCGCAAAGCGUGCGCAGGCGGUUUGCUAAGACCGAUGUGAAAUCCCCGGGCUCAACCUGGGAACUGCAUUGGUGACUGGCAGGCUAGAGUAUGGCAGAGGGGGGUAGAAUUCCACGUGUAGCAGUGAAAUGCGUAGAGAUGUGGAGGAAUACCGAUGGCGAAGGCAGCCCCCUGGGCCAAUACUGACGCUCAUGCACGAAAGCGUGGGGAGCAAACAGGAUUAGAUACCCUGGUAGUCCACGCCCUAAACGAUGUCAACUAGUUGUUGGGGAUUCAUUUCCUUAGUAACGUAGCUAACGUGUGAAGUUGACCGCCUGGGGAGUACGGUCGCAAGAUUAAAACUUAAAUGAAUUGACGGGGUCAUAGCUGUUUCCU
rnacentral:rRNA from 1 species